UCUCUCUUUGAUCCCUUCCCCUAAACCCCGACCCCGACACCCAUCUCCACCUCGGCCAUAGCUCGCCAACGUCUCCGCCGUCGUCGUCCCUCCCUCUCUCUCAAGGGUACAAUCUAAUUAAAUAUUUCAAUAUUCGACGCCGCCAAGCCCACUGCCCCCAACCCCUCCAUCUCAGCCCUAAUUGAAAAAAAUUGAGGGACCGGUGCUCCUCCUCGUUCUCCUCCACGUGGCUAGUUGAGAUUUCGUUUGAAGACUACUUUUGAUUUGAACUAAACUAAGGUCAACUUCAAUCGAUUAUAGCUCUCAGCCUAUAAUUAAUUAGGUGGCUCAUAACCUAUCAAAUUAAAACGCUAUGAGUCUUCUUUCCAACGCCACCGAAUUUGCCUCAUUAUAAAUUCGGAGUGAAGAGUUAUGCCAUUUUACUGAGCAAUGUCCAUGCUAGGCUGCUAUGGUGGGAAUUAGGUCGAUGUGGCAGGAUUUGACGGGCCAGAAUGAAAAGGAGGCGCAAUUUUACUAUUUCUUUUUUCCCUUAAGCGCCAAAAUAGAUGAGGGUUAUUGCAGAAAGCCCCCAAGAGCAGCUCUAGGCUUGGAGAGCAGGGAAAAGAGAUUCCUAGCGCAAGGAAGGCUACAACCUCCAUAUUUCAGGCCCGUUUCCAUAGUUUAUCCCUCCGGAUGUCAGAGAUUGUGCUAUAAUUUUUCUACAACUGCUUGACGCCAGGUGUCACGUUCUGAAAUAUAUAUUGGAUCAGGUGUCAUGUUCCAACACAUAUAUUGGAUCGAGUCUCACGUUCUGACACAUAUAUUGGAUAGGGUAUCACUUUCUGAUACAUACUAACAGUUUGGGUAUGAAUUCCUUGAGAGAACCAUUGUAUGGCUAUCAUCUGUAAAUUGAUCUUGAUUAUAUAUAUAAUGAUAGAGAAACUGACCCGAUUAUAAUUGAGCAUGCCCAUCAUGUGUAAUAAUUGAUAUGAUGCUUCGAAGGUCCAAGUAUUACCAUAUUGAUUGUUGUA